rnacentral:rRNA from 1 species
GUGCCAGCAGCCGCGGUAAUACGUAGGUGGCAAGCGUUGUCCGGAUUUAUUGGGUUUAAAGGGUGCGUAGGCGGUCUAUUAAGUCAGUGGUGAAAUAUGGCAGCUCAACUGUCAAGGUGCCAUUGAUACUGAUGGACUUGAGUGAAGUCGAAGUAGGCGGAAUUGACGGUGUAGCGGUGAAAUGCUUAGAUAUCGUCAAGAACACCGAUAGUGAAGACAGCUUACUAGGCUUAUACUGACGCUGAGGCACGAAAGUGUGGGGAUCAAACAGGAUUAGAAACCCCCGUAGUCC